UAUACGACAAUAUAAGACAUCAUUUAAUUUAAAAUUUGUGUUCAAUAAUUUUGAAAGUGUAAAUAUAUGAUGAAGAUUGUAACUAUGAUGUGCAAAAAAAACAAAAACUUUCAAUUCAACCGAACAUAGCAUUAUGCAAUAAACAUGAGUUUGAAAAUGCUUAUAAAAUACUUCCAAUACCAAAUGAAGAUGCAUUGAAUACUUUAAAAGACAUUUUAUGUAAUGAUGCCUUAUAUGAACAAACUGUAACCAAUAUUAUAUUCUCAUGACAAGUUGUAAACCAAUUGGAUUCGUAGAUUCAACAGAACGAGUAUGCAGACCCAAUAGAAGUUUUACUAAAUAAAACAAUCACCAAGAUGUUGGAAUAAUAGAAUCAGGCAAUUUCUAUUUGAGUUGAAAAUAGAACAAACUAUUUUUGUUGAUGAUGGUUUGAUUGUCAAGCAACAAAAUAAAAAUAAAUAUAUUAUUACAAGGUCUUGAACAAUAGUUUGAAAUAACACAAGGUCAUCUGUUCAUGCUAGGGCUGUCAUGGCUAGCGCAGAGGCAAUCCAUAGUAACGUUCAGUUCAACUGAAGCAGAAUAUAUUUCGGCAUACGAAACAGUCAAAGUUUUGGUUAGUUUUGGAAAUUACAUUAAUUCUUUAUUGUAUAGAAUAUUAAUUACGGGGCUGUGUUGAAUAUUGUAUAAAAAGUAACAUCAUACUGUUCAAUGAUAACAACAUAGUUGUACGAAUCACGAAAUAAAUGUUUCAAUUACAAGGCCAAUAGAUCACUUGUAUAUAUAGCCGUAUUUUAGCAUACCUACUGUAGGCACUAAAUUAUGAUAUUACUUAUGUGUACAUCAUGCAUUAGUUAUUAUGUUACUUAUUACUAAAAGCAGUGUAGUCAUUUUUGUCUAGAUUCAUCUACAAAUAUAGUUCUAAACUCAACUUAACUGUUGACUAAUAGCUAUACUGACCGGCCAUAAGGACAAUCAAAAUGCAUUUAGCGAGGCAUUUAGUAAAAUAGUAAUUAUGUUCUCUACUUCUUAAUAAGUUAUUGGCCAGUUGGCAGGUAUUGAAAUUAUUUAUUUUAUUUAAGAAAUUAAUUUUAGAAGCAGUACCUACGUACAUUCUUCUUCUUUUAAUUUAGUAAAUGUUUUUUUAUUUAUAUUAAUUUACAUUUUUUUUAAACUAAAUAAUUUAUUAACAUGAAGCAAUGUUAAUCUGUACAUAUACUAGUUAUUGUAAUUAAGUUUUUUUAAUGUAUUUUUUUUACUAAAAAUUUUUAGAAGCAGUACCUACAUUCUUCUUUUAACACCACAAGAAUCAAAGAUAUGGAAAUUGUUGCUAUUAUUUGGCUCACAAAAGCAAGUGAAAAACUAAAAACAACAACACCAGCUGAUUCCUAAGUUUAGUAAAUGUUUUUUUUAUUCAUAUGAAUUUACUUUUUUUUUAACUAAAUAAUUAAUUAACAUGAAGCAAUGUUAAUCUGUACAUAUACUAGAUAUUGUAAUUAAGUUUUUUUAUGUAUUUUUUUUACUAAAAAUUAAGUUUAUAGUGGGUUAUAGUUUUUUUUUUAGAAAUUAUUACCUGUUAUACAAAUACAUUUUAAAUCACAUAAUUGAAAUGCGAGGUGUGCAAGUAUUUAGUUAAAAAAAUAUACUUAUUUUAUAUCUGUUAUAUAAAUUAAAUAAGUAAUAUACAUUUAUAUUGUUACUUAACUUAUAUUUAAAAUGUUAAUCUGGACUAGUUAUUGUCAUAACAUUCGUUUUUUCAAUGUAUUUUAUUUGUUAAAAAUUAAAAUUAUAUAUUUUUUUUUAUUAAUGAUUAUCUGCAUAUACCUAAAUAAAUUUUAAAUCACAUAAUUUAAAUGCAAGGUGUGUACAUUUUAAGUUAAACGAUACCUAUAUUAUAUUUAAAACACUGAACUAUAGUUAGUCACA